GUUGUUUUUUAUGUAAAAAUUGCAAGUGUAGUAUCUGUUCUUAUCAGUUUAAUAUCUGAUACGUCCCCUAUCUGGGGACCAUAUAUUAAAUUGAUUUUUGGAACAGGGAGAUGGAAUAGGGGCUUGCUCCGUCCACUCCACGCAUCGACCUGGUAUUGCAGUACCUCCAGGAACGGUGCACCCCCU